AUUGAACGCUGGCGGCAGGCCUAACACAUGCAAGUCGAGCGGAGCGGCGGACGGGCGAGUAAUGCCUACGAAUCUGCCUGGCAGUGGGGGAUAACGUCAGGAAACGGGCGCUAAUAUCGUAUACUAUCAGAUGAGCCUAGGUCGGAUUAGCUAGUUGGUGGGGUAAAGGCCUACCAAGGCGACGUUCCGUAACUGAGCUGCGAGGACGAUCAGUCACACUGGAACUGAGACACGGUCCAGACUCCUACGGGAGGCAGCAGUGGGGAAUAUUGGACAAUGGGCGAAAGCCUGAUCCAGCCAUGCCGCGUGUGUGAAGAAGGUCUUCGGGUUGUAAAGCACUUUAAGUUGGGAGGCGUUACCAGCAGAAUAAGCACCGGCUAACUUCGUGCCAGCAGCCGCGGUAAUAC
rnacentral:rRNA from 1 species